AUCACACCAGUUUGUGAGUCACGUGUGAUCACAAAUUGGCAAGUUCGACAUUAGACAUUCCGCGUCAGAGUCUCUUAGUUUAAGAAGUAAAAUGGCUUUUGCUACAUGGAAAUAUUUAAAGGUUGUGAAAUAUUUCAGAGAUACAACGUAUCUGCGAAAGUGUUUCACGGACGAAAAAUAUGAAGUGGAAAUUGUGAGACAAGGUGGGAAGAAAAUAAUGCCCAGCAAACUACAGUUUGAUCAUCAGAACAAGGAAGUUAAGAACAAACAGGAAGAGUCAAGAGAAGCAACCACACUGAAACUCGAUAGAUGGGACAGCAUGCAGUAUCUGACCCCAAAUUUCUUUCAUGAUUGAGCUGCAAAGUCUCGUUCUGAUGGGUCCAGGAUGAGGCAAGUUUGUUUCUAGCGGCUGUGAGGAUAUGAAUUGAUCAUAAUAUUUGAGAAUGUAUUUUAGCGCAGACUAUAUUUGUUAGUACAUAAUAGUGCUGCUUUAUAAAACAACAGAACCUUAAACUACAGUAUGUGACUGGGGUUCAGCAAAGUCCCUUUCAAGGCCUCUGGGCAGCUAUUUCAGGCAUAUUUGGUCCGGACCAAAGCAAGUGAACUAGCGGUAUUUCCUGGUGUGAAUACACCCUAAGACAAAGUAUGUGUAUGUACUUAAAUGAGGAAUCCUGGGUGAGACUUACUCUGUUAUAUUUAGCAUUGCAUUUUCUCCCAUGCAUAUGUAAUAUGAGUGCACCAUCUUUGUAUAUCUAAAGUCUUUGAGUUCGAUCACGAUCUUAAACUUUUUUUUACUCUGUUAAUUAUUGUUUCCUUUAUGGCUGCAUUUGGAGCUGUGCGUUUUUUUUUUUUUUUUUUUUUUUUUUUUAAAUUUCACAAAGCAUGCACACACACUGACCUUUUUAUUUUUUUUUUAUUGUUAUCUGUUGUCUGUAUUGUUUUUAUUAUCUGUUAUUAUAUUUUAUUUGUCUGUUGAGUAUGGUCACCGCAUUCAGAAUGAGCAUCAUUUUUCUUUCUUUUUAUCUCACUGUAUUUCUUUGCAUUUACAGCACUUUAUCACCUGUAGUUUUAACACUUGCAUCUUCUAUGCCAGCUCACAGAGAAGAAUAAGGGCAGGAUCCAAGUGCAGAAGAACUUUAUUGAAAUAAAAACAAAAAUAAACUAAAGAGCAGAACUAAAAAACAACAUAAUAACCUCCCACAAAUGAACAGACCUGAGCAAGAACACAGAAAACACUGGGGUUUAAAUACACAAGGGCUAACAAUAUAACAAGACACACCUGGGAACAAUCAAGAUUAAUGAUCAGGGGGAACCAAUCAACAAAAUGACUACGAAACCUUGGGUGUGUCUCAGUCAGCUCCCUAGUUCAGUAGUCAGGGCACUGACCAGGGAGUCGGCCAUUUUAAGGGCUGUCUCAAUCGCAGAAUCGCUCCCUAAAAAGUCCCACAAUGCACCGUGAAAACCAGGGAGCAUCGAUGCUCACUAUGCUCCCUUAACGGAAGUUCUGAAGCGCGAAACUUGAUUCACGUGAGCCAACUCACUAUACAUAGCGAUGCACGAUAGAUGAUUUUAAAAAUACAAACCAUUAUUUUAUUACAUUUCAGCAUAAACAUACAUCGCUAGACAGGUAAUGAACAUAAUCUAGCUAACAUUUAUAAUUUAUUUACGGCUGAAAUGUUGCACGUAUAUGUACCAAGCAAAUAAUUUAUCAUAAUGUACUUUAAAUAACAUUACAAGUAAUGCCAGAAAAUAUCAGCUCUGCUGUUGUUCAUAAAUACCAGUAGUGAUGUCGUACAAUGAGGAUGUUGUCACGUCGCCGGAAAUAGAGUCAUAAGUGUCCCAAUGUGUAGUGGACCAGCAUCCUUUACUGUCCUUACCAGUGCCGAAUUCGUGUAGCCUACACGAUAUACUGAUUCAUGAGCUCGGGAGCUGAUUGAGACACACCCCUAGUGAAGAACAUAAAAGAACACACAGGAUUAAGGGAACACAGGCGUUAUCAUGACAGCAUAUAGUCCUGAGCUGUUAAGUAUCUAAACAUUUUUUUUGAUCCUCCACUUUAACUUACUUAUUCAGCUGUCGCUACUGUAACAUUUCUAGACGUUUUUAUUUAUCAGUGUUAGUCUUUCUAUGAGAUGUUCAAAUCAAGUUCUCAGUUCACAUCGUUUCUUUCUUGUUUUCAGAUUGAUUAUUGUUCUCUUAAAAAAUAACAAGUAGCCUACUUGUUUAACAUGUAGCCUAAUUGUGUAAAGAAAUGAAUAGAAUAUCAGUAGGCCUGAUUAUGUAAAGAAUCAGACACUUGAAAAGUACAUGUUGCCAGUUGCCAGUAUGUGUCAGUGCCAAUGAUUUUCUUAAAAAUUUCUGAAGAGUCUCUCUUCUUCCACCUGUUGAUCUUUGGGUUUAUGCAAGUUGUUUGAUGUACAAUCAAAACAUUUUACAUAAUAAAUGACAAUUGACAUCACCAUUGAUUGACACUUGAAAAAUAAAGGAACUCAAAUGUGUGUAUGUGUGGCUUUAAGAGAGGCAACAUACAAUUAUGUUGCUGUUUCAUAUUCCUUUAGCUCUUUCUCUCCCACUGUCAUUAAUAAAAUCUCUGUAAACUUAGAAACUUAAAUUUGACAUUGUCUUGACAAAUCGUUCAUAUAUAUAUUUUUUAUCUAUAAACAAUAAACGUAAGAUAAAAUUAGCAGUAUAGGGUCAACAGCUUUAAAAAUCAACAUAUAGUGAGACGGUUUGAUAUAGGCUACAUUAUAGUUUGUGUAUUUUUGGAACACUCAUAUAUAAACUGUAUUAUUCUGUGGUCAUUGUCUCUGUGUUUUACUGUUAUUUAAAGCAGGACAUUAAUUUCCAAUGUCAAUAACCUACUCAAGUCAAGUGUUCAAAAACUUGGUUUCUUGAUUGAAUAAAGAAACUGAACCAAAACUCA